rnacentral:rRNA from 1 species
UACGUACGAGGCGAGCGUUAUCCGGAAUUACUGGGCGUAAAGCGCGCGCAGGCGGACCAUUAAGUUGGGCGUGAAAUCUCCCGGCCUAACUGGGAGGGGUCGCCCAAGACUGGUGGUCUUGAGGACAGCAGAGGUGGGUGGAAUUCCUGGUGUAGUGGUGAAAUGCGUAGAGAUCAGGAGGAACACCGGUGGUGAAGGCGGCCCACUGGGCUGUCACUGACGCUGAGGCGCGAAAGCUCGGGGAGCGAACGGG